GGCUGGAACUUCUACAACAAACAGUUGAGGUCUCACUCAAACUCAUGAGCAUCCCACUUGUCUCCUCACUGUGUAAAUCAGGCACAAGCACAAGAGGAAAAAACAUGACAGAUUCUUCCACUGGAAGAUCAAGAACCACAACACUGAAUAUUCCAAGGACGUGAGUUGUGCUCUUGGCUGCCAUUUCCUUCCUGCAGCCUCCCAAAGAAAUCCAUAUCAGCUGACCUGCCAAGAGAUGAGAGCAGAGGGGCUGGGUCAGGAGUGUGACAUCAGACACAGGGGCGUUAUCAACACAGUCAUAAGAAGAAUAAAGAAUGGAGGAGUGAAGAGUGGGGGGAAGAGUAAAACCUUUGGCAUUAACCAAGGAUCAUCACCAGAUUGAUUCCUCCCUUCAUUACAUCCAGCCACAGCAAAUUAAGUGAAGAUACAAUAUGGAAAGGAGAAUUUUCUUAUGUAUGCUACAUAAAAAUCAGGAUGGAAUUAUGAUGACUACAGCUAAUGGAAUAAUUCACCACAAAUAUUUUAUUCAAAUGUAGCCUUUUUUCCUGCUGGGGGAAUAGCUCUGAGAUCAUGCAUUUCCUCAUGAAGUUCAAUAUUGAGUUCAACAUUUUCAUGUAAAUCUCUGAGCUGGACAAAUUGCAAGUGAAGGAGGUAAAAGACUCCCAGGAAUCUGUUGUGAAAGGCUGAUGAUUACAGCUGGGAUUCCUCCUGGAUGAGAAAACCAUCCCUUGGCUGACGGCGUGGCUGCAUCUUGGAACAUCAAGCGAGGUCUUUAUGUAAAUCUGAGUGUUCUUCUGCUUGUUCUGCUGCAAAAGCCAAUCUCACUGGGACACAGAAGGAAAUCCAGUGAGACAAGGACAGACAUAGCAACGUACUGACCUAAUUCUUCAGGUUGUGCAGCUGUGUACUCACUAUUUUAAGAGAUAAAUGAAUAACAGUCUCUCCGUUCUCCAGUGUAAAUUGACCAGAGCCUCCUCAUGUCAGUGAAGCCACAUGAAGUUGUGAAAACUGAGUGCCUGGGGCUAAAUGUUAGCUGGAGAAAGAAAAGGUAGCCACAGCAUCAUACUUCUGAAAAUGACUGUGACCAUACAACAUUUUAACAUUUUCAGGUAAAAACUGUGAUCUAGUAAAAAAAAAGAAAAACAACAACAAAACAAGCAAACAAAAAACUUGUAUCUGUGAUGAUAGGACUUUGUUGAUGUUCACUGGGGUAUUACAACAAAGAUCUUAUGGUGCCCAAGGUUAUCACAUUGUUCAAACAGAUUUUUCUCAGAAGGGAUGUUUUCUGCCUUUUCAGCUAUUCUUUCUUUUUGUUUUUUGUUUUUU